rnacentral:sRNA from 1 species
UUACGGGUUGGCCGGCAGCCCGCCGAGUG